CUAUAAAUACCUGACCGGCGACGUUUACUCUCUCUCUCUCGCCUCUCCGAAGAGUCCUCUGGUUGACUUGCUGAAGUAGAACGGCCGCUGCAUUAUUUAACUUGAUAUGUUAGAAAUGCUUCUUUACUAUCAAGUUACUGUUCUAGUACUGCCACUUGAGUCUUGCCAUGCUCCUGCCCUAGUUAUUAGUUAAAUAGUUAACAGCAGCUACCUUGGCGCAUGGCGACUUGCAGAACCAUGCACGUGGGGAACUCUGAACAUUUUGAAACCAUGCCGGCGCUGUCUGUACCUGGCCUAUGUGGAUUGAACUGAAGCCGUACACGCCAAUGACUGCGCACAUGGCAGACGCUGCCCAAAUGACUUGAUGGCAAGGAGACUUAACCUCGAAAGGUGCAACAGAACCAAGGAUGUGGCGGCAUCAUCUGAAAAGAUUUGGGAGACUACUCCCUCAUGGCCUGUGGCUGAACCAUACACACACGGCAAGU